UUGUGGUGUGUCCAGUUGGCCUUUGCUCUUUGAGUGAUAGUGCUUUACUGGUCUGCCAUGUUUGGGUGGAAUCUGUGUGGCAUUAAGUUGUCGUGCAGGGGAUGCCCAUCGUUUACUGUGAAAAAAUUAGAGUGUUCAAAGCAGGCUUAUGCCUCUGAAUAUAUUAGCAUGGAAUAAUGAUAUAGGACCUUGGUACUAUUUUGUUGGUUUGCGCACUGAGGUAAUGAUUAAGAGGGACAGUUGGGGGUAUUUGUAUUCCAUUGUCAGAGGUGAAAUUCUUGGAUUUUUGGAAGACAAACUACUGCGAAAGCAUUUACCAAGGAUGUUUUCAUUAAUCAAGAACGAAAGUUAGGGGAUCGAAGAUGAUUAGAUACCAUCGUAGUCUUAACCAUAAACUAUGCCGACAAGGGAUUGGUGGAGUUUCGUUUCGUCUCCAUCAGCACCUUGUGAGAAAUCAUAAGUCUUUGGGUUCCGGGGGGAGUAUGGUCGC
rnacentral:rRNA from 1 species